rnacentral:rRNA from 1 species
UAAUAGCUCACUAGUCGAGUCGGCCUGCGCGGAAGAUGUAACGGGGCUCAAACCAGGCACCGAAGCCGCGGAUUCACACUAAGUGUGAGUGGUAGGGGAGCGUUCUGUAAGUCUGCGAAGGUGUAUCGAGAGGUAUGCUGGAGAUAUCAGAAGUGCGAAUGCUGACGUAAGUAACGAUAAAGGGGGUGAAAAGCCUCCUCGCCGGAAGACCAAGGGUUCCUGUCCAACGUUAAUCGGGGCAGGGUGAGUCGACCCCUAAGGUGAGGCCGAAAGGCGUAAUCGAUGGGAAGCAGGUUAAUAUUCCUGCACGACUUGUAAUUGCGAUGGGGGGACGGAGAAGGCUAGGUGGGCCAGGCGACGGUUGUCCUGGUGAAAGUGCGUAGGUGGUGUUUCUAGGCAAAUCCGGAGACACAACACUGAGACACGAGACGAACGCACCACGGUGCGGAAGCCAUUGAUGCCCUGCUUCCAGGAAAAGCCUCUAAGCUUCAGAUUACAAGUCAUCGUACCCCAAAC